UACAGAGGUCUCAAGCGUUGUUCGGAUUCAUUGGGCGUAAAGGGUGCGUAGGUGGCGGGGCAAGUCUGGUGUAAAAUCCCGGGGCUCAACCCCGGAACUGCACUGGAUACUGCCUUGCUAGAGCACUGGAGAGGGAACUGGAAUUUACGGUGUAGCAGUGAAAUGCGUAGAUAUCGUAAGGAAGACCAGUGGCGAAGGCGAGUUCCUGGACAGUUGCUGACCACUGGAGGCACGAAGGCUAGGGGAGCAAACGGG
rnacentral:rRNA from 1 species